rnacentral:tRNA from 1 species
GGCCCGCUAGCUCAAUUGGCAGAGCAACGGAUUCUUAAUCCGUGUGUUCUGGGUUCGAUUCCCAGGCGGGUCA